GAUGAAGAACGUAGCGAAAUGCGAUACUUGGUGUAAAUUGCAGAAUCCCGUGAACCAUCGAGUCUUUGAACGCAAGUUGCGCCCGAAGCCAUUAGGCCGAGGGCACGCCUGCCUGGGCGUCACACGUCGUUGCCCCCCCAUCUACUCCUUCGGGAUUGCGGGGGGCGGAUGAUGGCCUCCCGUGCGCCUUGUCGCGCGGUUGGCAUAAAUGCCAAGUCCUCGGCGACGCACGCCACGACAAUCGGUGGUUGCGAAACCUCGGUUGCCCGUCGUGUGCGGUCGUCGCGCAUCGAGGGCUCGAAAAAAUUGUCGGGCUCCGGCUCGGCUUUCAACGCGACCCCAGGUCAGGCGGGGUUACCCGCUGAAUUUAAGCAUAUCAAUAAGCGGAGGA
rnacentral:misc_RNA from 1 species